GACGAACCGUGCGAACGUUGUUCGGAAUCACUGGGCUUAAAGGGCGCGUAGGCGGCUUGUCAAGUCCGGGGUGAAAUCCUCCAGCUUAACUGGAGAAGUGCCUUGGAUACUGGCGAGCUCGAGUGAGGUAGGGGCAGUUGGAACUUCCGGUGGAGCGGUGAAAUGCGUUGAUAUCGGAAGGAACGCCGGUGGCGGAAGCGAACUGCUGGACCUCUUCUGACGCUGAGGCGCGAAAGCUAGGGGAGCGAACGGG
rnacentral:rRNA from 1 species